rnacentral:rRNA from 1 species
AUUGAACGCUGGCGGCAGGCUUAACACAUGCAAGUCGAGCGGAGCGGCGGACGGGUGAGUAAUGCUUAGGAAUCUGCCUAUUCGUGGGGGACAACAUCUCGAAAGGGAUGCUAAUACCGCAUACUCAUAGAUGAGCCUCAGCUGGAAUGGCUUGUUGGUGGGGUAAAGGCCUAACAAGGCGACGAUCUGUAGCGGGUCUGAGAGGAUGAUCCGCCAAACUGGGACUGGGGCACGGGCCAGACUCCUAAGGGAGGCAGCAAGGGGGGAUGUUGGACAAAGGGGGGAACCCUGAUCCAGCCAUGCCGCGUGUGUGGAGAAGGCCUUUUGGUUGUAAAACUCUUUAAGCGAGGAGGCGUUACUCGCAGAAGAAGCACCGGCUAACUCUGUGCCAGCAGCCGCGGUAAUAC